UACGAAGGGGGCUAGCGUUGUUCGGAGUUCCUGGGCGUAAAGGGCGCGUAGGCGGCGCACCAAGUCAGGCGUGAAAGCCCUGGGCUCAACCCGGGAAUUGCGCUUGAGACUGGUGUGCUUGAGUACGGGAGAGGAUAGUGGAAUUCCCAGUGUAGAGGUGAAAUUCGUAGAUAUUGGGAAGAACACCGGUGGCGAAGGCGGCUAUCUGGACCGUAACUGACGCUGAGGCGCGAAAGCGUGGGGAGCAAACAGG
rnacentral:rRNA from 1 species